GACGAACGCUGGCGGCGUGCUUAACACAUGCAAGUCGAACGGAAAGGCCCCUUUGGGGGUCCUCGAGUGGCGAACGGGUGAGUAACACGUGAGUAACCUGCCCUUGACUUCGGGAUAACUUCAGGAAACUGGGGCUAAUACCGGAUAGGAAUCCUUGCCGCAUGGUGGGGGUUGGAAAGCUUCGGCGGUUUUGGAUGGACUCGCGGCUUAUCAGCUUGUUGGUGGGGUAGUGGCUUACCAAGGCUUUGACGGGUAGCCGGCCUGAGAGGGCGACCGGCCACAUUGGGACUGAGAUACGGCCCAGACUCCUACGGGAGGCAGCAGUGGGGAAUAUUGCACAAUGGGCGGAAGCCUGAUGCAGCAACGCCGCGUGCGGGAUGACGGCCUUCGGGUUGUAAACCGCUUUCAGCAGGGGCGAAGCUUUUGUGACGGUACCUGCAGAAGAAGCACCGGCUAACUACGUG
rnacentral:rRNA from 1 species